UCGAGAAUCUUCGGCAAUGGACGAAAGUCUGACCGAGCGACGCCGCGUGCGGGAUGAAGGCCCUCGGGUUGUAAACCGCUGUCAGUUAGGAGGAAAUCCAUGAGGGUUCUCUCUCAUGGUUGACCGAUUUUCAGAGGAAGGACGGGCUAAGUUCGUGCCAGCAGCCGCGGUAAGACGAACCGUCCGAACGUUAUUCGGUAUCACUGGGCUUAAAGCGUGCGUAGGCGGCUUGGUAGGUGAGAUGUGAAAGCCCACGGCUCAACCGUGGAACAGCGUCUCAAACCCCCGGGCUUGAGGAAGAUAGGGGUGAUGGGAACUUAUGGUGGAGCGGUGAAAUGCGUUGAUAUCAUAGGGAACACCGGUGGCGAAAGCGCAUCACUGGAUCUUUUCUGACGCUGAGGCACGAAAGCUAGGGUAGCGAACGGGAUUAGAUACCCGCGUAGUCC
rnacentral:rRNA from 1 species